UAGGGGAGCUUCCCAUGGGCGGAGAAGCCGGAGGGCGACCGACGGUGGAGCGCAUGGGAGUGAGAAUGCUGGCAUGAGUAGCGAGAGACGAGAGAGUAACUCGUCCGCCGUGAACCCGAGGUUUCCUGGGCAAGGCUAAUCCUCCCAGGGUCAGUCGGGGGCUAAGGCGAGGCCGGGAGGCGUAGCCGACGCGCAGCAGGCAGACAUUCCUGCACCGCGCACGCGGCGCUACGACCGACGGGGCGACGGAUGGGGGUGGCUCGGCGGGGUUCUGGACGUCCCCGUGAUGGAGCGCGGCCCGCGGACCAGGGAAAUCCGGUCCGCAGAAGGGCGAGGCUCCGGACGAAGCGAUUGAGCGAAGCGAGUGAGCCCGAGGUCCCUAGAAAAACCCCUAGGCAGGCGCGUGCGCGCCCGUACCGCAAACCGACACAGGUGGGUGGGUAGAACAUACCGAGGCGAUCGGGUCAACCAUGGUCAAGGAACUCGGCACAAUGGCCCCGUAACUUCGGGAGAAGGGGUGCCCGCGCGUACGUGAACCGGCUUGCCCGGGGAGCGGAGGCGGGCCGCAGUGGAGAGGCCCAAGCGACUGUUUACCAAAAACACAGGACUCUGCAGAAGCCGCAAGGCGACGUAUAGGGUCUGACGCCUGCCCGGUGCCGGAAGGUCACGCGGAGGAGUUAGCCGUUAAGGCGAAGCCCCGAAGCCAAGCCCCGGUAAACGGCGGCCGUAACUAUAACGGUCCUAAGGUAGCGAAAUUCCUUGUCGGGUAAGUUCCGACCUGCACGAAAGGCGCAACGACUUGGGCGCUGUCUCGACCAUGGACCCGGUGAAAUUGCACUGGUCGUGAAGAUGCGACUUACCCGCGGAAGGACGGAAAGACCCCGUGAACCUUCACUGCAGCUUGGCAUUGGCCGCUGGUCCCGCGUGUAGAGGAUAGGCAGGAGGCACAGAUCCGGAGGCGCCAGCCCCCGGGGAGCCGCCCUUGGAAUACUGCCCUCGCGCGACCGGCGUCCUAACCCGAGGCCGUCAACCGGCUCGGGGACCGUGCCAGGCGGGCAGUUUGACUGGGGCGGUCGCCUCCUAAAGGGUAACGGAGGCGCGCGAAGGUCCGCUCGGGACGGUCGGCAACCGUCCUUUUGAAUGCAAGAGUACAAGCGGGCUUGACUGCGAGGCCCACAAGCCGAGCAGGUGCGAAAGCAGGCUCUAGUGAUCCGGCGGCCCCGAGUGGGUGGGCCGUCGCUCAACGGAUAAAAGGUACUCCGGGGAUAACAGGC
rnacentral:rRNA from 1 species